UACGUAGGGUGCGAGCGUUGUCCGGAAUUACUGGGCGUAAAGAGCUCGUAGGUGGUUUGUCGCGUUGUUCGUGAAAACUCACAGCUCAACUGUGGGCGUGCGGGCGAUACGGGCAGACUGGAGUACUGCAGGGGAGACUGGAAUUCCUGGUGUAGCGGUGGAAUGCGCAGAUAUCAGGAAGAACACCCGUGGCGAAGGCGGCUCUCUGGGACGGUACUGACGCUGAGACGCGAAAGCGUGGGGAGCGAACAGG
rnacentral:rRNA from 1 species